GACGAACCGUGCGAACGUUGUUCGGAAUCACUGGGCUUAAAGGGCGCGUAGGCGGGCUGACAAGUCUGGGGUGAAUCCCGCGGCUCAACCGUGGAACUGCCUCAGAUACUGUCGGCCUCGAGGGAGGUAGGGGCGUGCGGAACUGUGAGUGGAGCGGUGAAAUGCGUUGAUAUUCACAGGAACUCCGGUGGCGAAAGCGGCGCGCUGGACCUCUUCUGACGCUGAGGCGACGAAAGCGUGGGGAGCAAACGGGAUUAGA
rnacentral:rRNA from 1 species